rnacentral:tRNA from 2 species
GCAUCGAUGGUUCAGUGGUAGAAUGCUCGUCUGCCACGCGGGCGGCCCGGGUUCGAUUCCCGGUCGAUGCA